CUUCGCAGGGGACGUGUGGAUCCUUGGGCCGUUGCAGGACGGUCGCCACGCUGGGUUAGGUCACCAGCAGGCCCGAGGGGAGCGAGUGGCGAGACCGACCCCAGGAC
rnacentral:ncRNA from 1 species